AAAAAAAAAAAAAAAAAACAAAAAAAAAGAAAAGGCCAUGCGAGUGGUGACACAUCGGAGUAGAGGCAGGACUGCGGGGAGCUGCACCUUCCCCCCGCGCCCUCCUCCGCUGUCAUACUCAGUGAUGGGGAGCCCCUACCCCAGAAGUAUAUCUCGUGAGAGCAUCAGGGACGCAGCGAAAGAAUGGUUCUCAAGGGAGACAGGAAGAGACAGCAACAUAGAGGAUGUGGCUCUGCGUCCUUGGUGCGCCCUGGUCAACAACAGAAGGAAGGAGGUAAGAAUAAAAGAUGGCAGCAGUGACCGAGGUCAAUGAGUCCUCCAGUGUGAAACCACGGUGGGAAAAAGGGAUUCAUCCAUCUGUAGUCUUUAUAAUCACC